GAAGCUGGUUGCAUUCCUUGCAUUCUUUGUGGAUUUGGCUUGGUUUGGGUUUGGUUUGGGAAGGAUAGAUUUGUGUCCGCUUGGCUACACUUUGGGCAUCUCUUUAUUAUAUAGCCUUGCUUUCUCAGAUGAUCUUUAGAAUUCCGGUGAUGGACAAACAAGAUGCCUGUUUGACCCAUCUAACAGCUAAUCGCUGACAUCUUCUGCAGCAGAGCAUGCAAAGGCUUCUUAUCAUCCUUCAUGUAAGUAUUCAAUUACUUACAUAUUCAGUGUAAGUAUUCAGACGGUCUAGUUUUGCAGAACGCUGCUGAAAAGCAGUCAACGCUUUUCUGUCCUUGAAGAGUCGUCGAUAGUGAUAAAUUAAUGCCCGAGGUAACAAGUGCUAUGCAUUAUAAAUUGUAUCACAAUAAAUAAUCGAAAGAGCUUAUUUGGGUGUGGGGGGGAAUAGAAUAUAUAUGCGAUAUUAUGUCCCUAGGCCUAGACAGGCAGUACAUUCUUACCCUGUUUAUAUUAAUAUGCUUACUGGAAUAUGCAUUAGGAAGCCUAUCCAAUACAUAAUAAAGGCAUGAGCUCUCUUUGCUUUUCAUUAUCGCAGAGGAGUAUAGGUGUUGCUUGCAGAAGAAUGACUCCUGCAUGCAGGAGUCACUGGUUUACCUCUCGGUCAUGACUUUCACCUGCAAACGUACAUCCCAGAGUGCUGCACAUAAAUGAAAAACUGAAAAAAAAAAUUUUAAAAAAAGAGAAGGAAAUAUUGAAAAGGAAAGAAGGAAAAUUGAAACAAAGAUGACAUCCCACAGAAGUUCUUAGGAGUUGCUAGGAGUUUGGCACUUUCAUAGUACUUACAAGGUGAAAUAUUGAAUCAAAACUAUAUUGACAGAGGAAGAAUGGUUUCUGCUUCAAAAGUUUCCCAAGUGUGAUGCAGAAGAAGCAGUAUUCUACAGGAAUGCAAAGAUUCUUUCAUGUAGGUUACCUAGACACUCCCAUACCACAGGAAUGUGCCUGCUAAUCCCUGGCUAACUCAUUUUAUUACAGAUAUAUAAGAGGAGUUGGUUUUCACCUAUGGAUCUGUGUUCAUGUUCAUGGUCUACAUUUACAAGAUUAUAGCAUUUAAAACCCACUUCAAGUGGCUCUAAAGAGAUCUACUCUUUUUGUCCUUAGUGUCAAACAUACA